rnacentral:rRNA from 1 species
AUGGACUCAGGAUGAACGCUGGCGGCGUGCUUAACACAUGCAAGUCGAACGGAGUUUUUAACGGAAGUUUCGGAUGGAAGUUUAGAACUUAGUGGCGGACGGGUGAGUAACGCGUGGGUAACCUGCCUCAUACAGGGGGAUAACAGUUAGAAAUGACUGCUAACACCGCAUAAUAUAGCGAAACCGCAUGAUUUUUGCUAUCAAAUAUUUAUAGGUAUGAGAUGGGCCCGCGUCUGAUUAGCUAGUUGGUGGGGUAAAAGCCUACCAAGGCGACGAUCAGUAGCCGGCUUGAGAGAGUGACCGGCCACAUUGGGACUGAGACACGGCCCAAACUCCUACGGGAGGCAGCAGUGGGGAAUACUGGACAAUGGGGGAAACCCUGAUCCAGCGAACCGCCGCGUGAGUGAAGAAGUAUUUCGGUAUGUAAAGCUCUAUCAGCAGGGAAGAUAAUGACAGUACCUGACUAAGAAGCCCCGGCUAACUACGUGCCAGCCGCUGC